rnacentral:rRNA from 1 species
UACGUAGGGUGCGAGCGUUGUCCGGAAUUAUUGGGCGUAAAGAGCUCGUAGGCGGUCUGUCGCGUCGAUCGUGAAAACUUGGGGCUUAACCCUGAGCUUGCGGUCGAUACGGGCAUGACUGGAGUUCGGCAGGGGAGACUGGAAUUCCUGGUGUAGCGGUGAAAUGCGCAGAUAUCAGGAAGAACACCCGUGGCGAAAGCGGCUUCCUGGCCCAUUACUGACGUCAGGUACGAAAGCGUGGGGAGCAAACAGG